rnacentral:rRNA from 1 species
GAUGAACGCUGGCGGCGUGCUUAACACAUGCAAGUCGAACGAUGAAGCCCAGCUUGCUGGGUGGUUUAGUGGCGAACGGGUGAGUAACACGUGAGUAACCUGCCCUUAACUCUGGGAUAAGCCUGGGAAACUGGGCCUAAUACCGGAUAGGAGCUUCCACCGCAUGGUGGGUGUUGGAAAGAUUUAUCGGUUUUGGAUGGACUCGCGGCCUAUCAGCUUUUUGGUGAGGUAAUGGCUGACCAAGGCGAUGACGGGUAGCCGGCCUGAGAGGGUGACCGGCCACACUGGGACUGAGACACGGCCCAGACUCCUACGGGAGGCAGCAGUGGGGAAUAUUGCACAAUGGGCGCAAGCCUGAUGCAGCGACGCCGCGUGCGGGAUGACGGCCUUCGGGUUGUAAACCUCUUUCAGUAGGGAACAAGCGAAAGUGACGGUACCUGCAGAAGAAGCACCGGCUAACUACGUG